AUGCGGAAAGUGUAUGAUGCAUUCCUUGCGGAGUUCCCUCUGUGCUUUGGCUAUUGGAAGAAAUAUGCAGAUCAUGAAGGCUGUCUAGAUGGUGUCAAUAAAGUUUUUGAGAUUAUGGUUCCGAAACAUUGUCGGAUGAGUAGUACAUCAAGUAUGAAGAAUCACUUUCAAGCAUGGAGUCAUCUAGCUGUGGUAUACACAAGAAUAUUAGAGCACCCUAUACAACGGCUUGAUUGGUACUUUAAUUGGAAACAAAUGAGACAUUCCCAUUCACAACUGUUCAUGGGAACCCAGACUUUUCGGACCAAUCAAUAA
rnacentral:rRNA from 1 species